UCUAAGCGGGAAGCCCCUCCUGAGAGCGAUCUCCCGGACUUAAUGUCCCUGAAGGUCACAGGUAGACCACCUGUUUGAUAGGCCGGGGGUGGAAGCAUGGCAACAUGUGAAGCCGACCGGUACUAAGCGACCGUGUGGCUUGACUUG
rnacentral:rRNA from 1 species